rnacentral:rRNA from 1 species
CCUGGUUGAUCCUGCCAGUAGUCAUAUGCUUGUCUCAAAGAUUAAGCCAUGCACGUGCAAGUUUAAACUGUCCCAGUGAAACUGCGAAUGGCUCAUUAAAUCAGUUAUGGUUCCUUUGAUCGUCACAUCCUACAUGGAUAACUGUGGUAAUUCUAGAGCUAAUACAUGCGGAAGAAGCGCCGACCUCACGGUCUGGCGUGCAUUUAUCAGACCAAGACCGACCCGGGGUUCGCCCCGGUCCCUUUGGUGACUCUGGAUAACCCAGCCGAUCGCACGGUCUUCGCACCGGCGACAGAUCAUUCGAAUGUCUGCCCUAUCAACUUUCGAUGGUAGGUUCUGUGCCUACCAUGGUGGCAACGGGUGACGGGGAAUCAGGGUUCGGUUCCGGAGAGGGAGCCUGAGAAACGGCUACCACAUCCAAGGAAGGCAGCAGGCGCGCAAAUUACCCACUCCCGACUCGGGGAGGUAGUGACGAAAAAUAACAAUACGGGACUCUUUCGAGGCCCCGUAAUUGGAAUGGGUACACUUUAAAUCCUUUAACGAGGAUCUAUUGGAGGGCAAGUCUGGUGCCAGCAGCCGCGGUAAUUCCAGCUCCAAUAGCGUAUAUUAAAGUUGUUGCGGUUAAAAAGCUCGUAGUUGGAUCUUGGGACCGGGCUUGCGGUCCGCCGCGAGGCGUGUCACUGCUCGUCCCGGCCCUCCCCGCCGGAUUCUCCUUGGUGCUCUUAACUGAGUGCCUCGGGGUGCCGGAGCGUUUACUUUGAAAAAAUUAGAGUGUUCAAAGCAGGCCUGGCGCCUGAAUAGUGGUGCAUGGAAUAAUGGAAUAGGACCUCGGUUCUAUUUCGUUGGUUUUCGGAACGUGAGGUAAUGAUCAAGAGGGACGGACGGGGGCAUUCGUAUUGCGGCGGGAGAGGUGAAAUUUCUUGGAUCGCCGCAAGACGAACCACUGCGAAAGCAUUUGCCAAGAAUGUUUUCAUUGAUCAAGAACGAAAGUUGUGGGCGCGAAGGCCAAGAAGAGCGGGCCCUAGUCACAACUGUAAACGAUGCCGACUAACGGUCCGUUGCUGAUAAUGGUCACACACGGCGGGCGGUUACCGGGAAACCAAAGUGUCUGGGCCCCGGGGGAAGUAUGGUUGCAAAACUGAAACCUCAAGGAAAUGACGGAAGGGUACCACAAGGAGUGGAGCAUGCGGCACGCCACCAGCGACCAUACUGUCUGGCACCCUAGGAGUUGAUGGAGCUUGCAGAACUAGAGGAAUCCUAGGUCCAAGAUUCUGAGAGAGGUAGGACCGAGGUGGUGGUGUUGAAGAGAUA